GACGAACGCUGGCGGCGUGCUUAACACAUGCAAGUCGAGCGGUAAGGCCCUUUCGGGGUACACGAGCGGCGAGCGGUGAGUAACACGUGGGUGACCUGCCCUCAGCUCUGGGAUAAGCCUGGGAAACCGGGUCUAAUACUGGAUAUGACUCCAUGACGCAUGUUGUGGGGUGGAAAGCCUUGUGCGGCUGAGGAUGGGCCCGCGGCCUAUCAGCUUGUUGGUGGGGUGAUGGCCUACCAAGGCGACGACGGGUAGCCGGCCUGAGAGGGCGACCGGCCACACUGGGACUGAGACACGGCCCAGACUCCUACGGGAGGCAGCAGUGGGGAAUCUUGCGCAAUGGGCGAAAGCCUGACGCAGCGACGCCGCGUGAGGGAUGACGGCCUCGGUUGUAAC
rnacentral:rRNA from 1 species